AUGCCAGGAAUUUGGCCCGAGCAGGAGCGGCGUGCAGUCCAAGACGCUAGCCUCGGUCGCAGUAGGCUCAACAGCAGCGCCUCCGACGCCCAGCGGGGUCCGGCGGGGAGCUCUGCCUCGGGACGCACCGCCCCUUGCGCCCGGCGGCUUCCCCAUCCCCGGUGCCUGGCCCACUCCGGACCGAGGCCCUCUCUCAGCUCCUGUGCCUGUUGCCGUGGCCUUGGUGGCACCCUUCCCCGGUGGCCAGCCCAGGGCUUCCCCCACCCAUGCAGUCUCCCACCACCACUGCCCAGGGCCUCAGCGGCCCCCUCUUUGGGGCCUACACUCUCCCCACCUUCAAGUUCCAGCCUCGCCGUGAGAGUGUGGACUGGAGGCGCAUCAGUGCCCUGGAUGUGGACCGCGUGGCACGGGAGCUGGACGUGGCUACCCUGCAGGAGAACAUCGCCGGUGUCACUUUCUGCAACCUGGACCGGGAGGUGUGCGGCCGCUGCGGGCAGCCCGUGGACCCAGUGCUGCUCAGGUGCUGCGGCUGGCGAGCUCAGCAUCGAGUACCUGCUGCACUGCCAGGACUGCCUCAGCACCAGCGUGGCCCAGCUGGAGGCGGCUGCAGGCCAGCCUGGGCCAGCAGGAGCGUGGCCAGCAGGAGCUGGGCCGCCAGGCCGACGAGCUCAAGGGUGUGCGGGAGGAGAGCCGGCGGCGGCGCAAGAUGAUCAGUGCCCUGCAGCAGCUGCUCCUGCAGACGGGCACCCACAGCUACCACACUGUGAGCACCUCUGUGGGGCGGGGACCCUGGGAGGGCUGUGCGCCCAGCCAGUGGCCACCUCUGUGGCAGUGCCGCCUGGGCCCCGAGGCAGCUGUGGCCAUUCUCACUGGGGCUGGGAGCAGGUUUUAGAGAUGCCGUUCAUCACCAGAGAGCCCCCUGCAGUCUGGUUAGGUCUACAAUGCAUGUGGAGUUGUGUGGCAGGUGUGUAUGAGUUCAGAGUAUAGAUGUCUUAUGUGUUAUGUCUCGUGUGUGCAUGUGUGAACAUACGUACGGUGUGUGUGAGUUUACAGAUGGUGGGUAAACAUACCUAAGGUGUGUAUAUGAUUGCUUGGAAGGUUAUGUCUGUGAAUGGGUGUGCGUGUGUGUAUGUAGAAUGUGUGGCAUAUAACACACUUACGUAAAAUGUGCAUGUAAAGAUACACUUUUGUCGCAUGUGUGGAUGUAUGAAGGGUGUGUAUGUGUGUAGAGGCCUAAGUGUGUAUGUGUGAAGGCUUUGUGUGUGUGUAGAGGUGUGAUGUGAUAAACAUGUAUAAGAGGUGUGUGAGGGUAUGUGUGAAAUCAGUGUGUGACAAGGAACUGGUGAAGACAAGCCUGUUCUGGAAAAGUGAUCCCAUUAGUCAACCAAGUGACAGCUUAUCACUCAAAGUGGCAUUU
rnacentral:lncRNA from 1 species